rnacentral:rRNA from 1 species
GACGAACGCUGGCGGCGUGCUUAACACAUGCAAGUCGAACGGAAAGGCCCUGCUUUUGUGGGGUGCUCGAGUGGCGAACGGGUGAGUAACACGUGAGUAACCUGCCCUUGACUUUGGGAUAACUUCAGGAAACUGGGGCUAAUACCGGAUAGGAGCUCCUGCUGCAUGGUGGGGGUUGGAAAGUUUCGGCGGUUGGGGAUGGACUCGCGGCUUAUCAGCUUGUUGGUGGGGUAGUGGCUUACCAAGGCUUUGACGGGUAGCCGGCCUGAGAGGGUGACCGGCCACAUUGGGACUGAGAUACGGCCCAGACUCCUACGGGAGGCAGCAGUGGGGAAUAUUGCACAAUGGGCGGAAGCCUGAUGCAGCAACGCCGCGUGCGGGAUGACGGCCUUCGGGUUGUAAACCGCUUUCGCCUGUGACGAAGCGUGAGUGACGGUAAUGGGUAAAGAAGCACCGGCUAACUACGUGCCAGCAGCCGCGGUGAUACGUAGGGUGCGAGCGUUGUCCGGAUUUAUUGGGCGUAAAGGGCUCGUAGGUGGUUGAUCGCGUCGGAAGUGUAAUCUUGGGGCUUAACCCUGAGCGUGCUUUCGAUACGGGUUGACUUGAGGAAGGUAGGGGAGAAUGGAAUUCCUGGUGGGGCGGUGGAAUGCGCAGAUAUCAGGAGGAACACCAGUGGCGAAGGCGGUCCUCUGGGCCUUUCCUGACGCUGAGGAGCGAAAGCGUGGGGAGCGAACAGGCUUAGAUACCCUGGUAGUCCACGCUGUAAACGGUGGGUACUAGGUGUGGGGUCCAUUCCACGGGUUCCGUGCCGUAGCUAACGCUUUAAGUACCCCGCCUGGGGAGUACGGCCGCAAGGCUAAAACUCAAAGGAAUUGACGGGGCCCCGCACAAGCGGCGGAGCAUGCGGAUUAAUUCGAUGCAACGCGUAGAACCUUACCUGGGUUUGACAUGGAUCGGGAGUGCUCAGAGAUGGGUGUGCCUCUUUUGGGGUCGGUUCACAGGUGGUGCAUGGCUGUCGUCAGCUCGUGUCGUGAGAUGUUGGGUUAAGUCCCGCAACGAGCGCAACCCUUGUUCACUGUUGCCAGCACGUUAUGGUGGGGACUCAGUGGAGACCGCCGGGGUCAACUCGGAGGAAGGUGGGGAUGACGUCAAGUCAUCAUGCCCCUUAUGUCCAGGGCUUCACGCAUGCUACAAUGGCUGGUACAGAGAGUGGCGAGCCUGUGAGGGUGAGCGAAUCUCGGAAAGCCGGUCUCAGUUCGGAUUGGGGUCUGCAACUCGACCUCAUGAAGUCGGAGUCGCUAGUAAUCGCAGAUCAGCAACGCUGCGGUGAAUACGUUCCCGGG